rnacentral:rRNA from 1 species
GUGUCAGCAGCCGCGGUAAUACGUAGGGUGCAAGCGUUGUCCGGAUUUAUUGGGCGUAAAGAGCUCGUAGGCGGUUUGUCACGUCGGAUGUGAAAUCCCAGUGCUUAACACUGGGCCUGCAUUCGAUACGGGCAGACUUGAGUGUUGUAGGGGAGACUGGAACUCCUGGUGUAGCGGUGAAAUGCGCAGAUAUCAGGAAGAACACCGAUGGCGAAGGCAGGUCUCUGGGCAACUACUGACGCUGAGGAGCGAAAGCGUGGGGAGCAAACAGGAUUAGAUACCCUGGUAGUCCACGCCGUAAACGGUGGGCGCUAGGUGUGGGGACCAUUCCACGGUUUCCGUGCCGCAGCUAACGCAUUAAGCGCCCCGCCUGGGGAGUACGGCCGCAAGGCUAAA